CAGGAAGAGUUUACUACCUAAGCUAUUUCUUACUCCACCUAAACCGGAAAAUUGAUACUAAAAAUUUUUAUAUCAAAUAUGGAUGCAAAUAUAUAUUAAGAAUUCAGAAGAAACAUCUUUCCAAAAAAUUAACAAAGAUACUAAAGUAUUGGCGAAAGAAAUAGUACCCCACCAUGAAAAUCUAUUGGAUAUAUGAAUACCAAGGUGAUAUAGAAAUUAACUUAUAGACAUAGUACUGUGAAGGAAAGGAUUUAUAUAAACAAUUUACUUCUUCUUGUCUUCUGUUGUUAAACAACGUACCUUUUGUAUAAUGGGCUUGUUAGAAUCGGUUUGGUUAGCCUACUAAAGCUACUUAUAUAAUAAAAUCAAACAUUCCCGAAACUAGGUGAUCAAUUCUAGAGCAGCCAAUAGGGCCAACCAUUUACUGUUUCAAAAGUUUUGGAGGACUUUAGAAUAGGGGUGAAAUACCAAUCGAACCUAGAAAUAGCUGGUUUUCUACAAAAUUCUUAUUAGAGAAAUAAUGUGACAUUAGUUACUUUUUAAAAACUAAAUAAGUGCUAAUGUAAAACAUUUUGAUAGACCAAGAAUGAUAAGAUUGUUGGUCGAGAGAGAAACAACUCAGAUUAUAAGCCAAGGACAUAAAUUAAUUAAACGUAGACACAACAAAAAGUAAAAAUAGAGAACAAGUAGGCUUGGAGGCAGCCACCUUAUUGACAACGCGUAACAGCGGUUCCUAAAAACAUAUUUGUUAAAAAUUAUGAUGGCUAAGUAAUUCCGAAACUAUAAUAAAUAAGUAGUAGAACAGACUAUUAACAAAUAAUAGUGGAAAUAAUGCAAGCAUGAAUAUCCACCCAUUCUUUAGGUUUAGCUAAAACAAUCCUUAAAAACUACAGGUUUGUUAACUCAGAAAUUAAUCACCCAAGAAAUAAGUUAACACAACUAAUUGUACCAUCUAACCAAAGAAAGUCAAACAACUUGAUUAAUUUUUCCAAAGGAACUCGGCAAAAUUGGAUCUAAAACCACUAUCAGGAUCGACUGUUUACCAAAAACAUAGCCCUACUACAAAAUUGUAAGGUGAAGCCUGCCCAAUGACUGCUAAUAACUUAAUUAAAAUCAGUCCAAUGGCCGCGGUAACUCUGACCGUGAUAAAGUAGCAUAAUCACUUGUCACCUAAUUAGUGACUGGAAUGAAUGGCUAAACGAAUCCUUCCCUGUCUCUGGAAAAACUCUGGCGAAUUUGAAACGAUAGUGAAGAUGCUAUCAAAUAAUUGUAAGACGAAAAGACCCUAUCGAGCUUUACUGGAAGCUUGCACAAUAACAUACUCGAUUAUAACAAAAAGUUUAAAAUUGCAAGAUUGACAGUUUGGUUGGGGCGACCACCCCUAAAAAUGUAUCAGGGGAAUUCUGAAGGUUAUUAUAAUAUGAAAAAUUACCUUACUGAAGACAAACAAGUCAACCAGUUACAAUAAGUAGGACAUAUUGACCCGUUAUUUUGCUCAUAUUAAAUAGCGACUAUGAAAAAAGUUACCGUAGGGAUAACAGGGUAAUAUUUUUAGAGAGUUCAUAUCGAUGAAAAUGUUUGCCACCUCGAUGUUGAAUUGUGAUAUCCUGAAGGUGCAGAAGCUCUCAAGGGUUGGUCUGUUCGACCAUUAAAAUCACACAUGAUUUGAGUUCAUUCCGUCGUAAGACAGGAAGGUUUCUAUCUACAAUUAAAAGAACUAAUUACAGACUCUAGUACGAAAGGAAUGAGUAAUGUCAUUGCAAAAAAUGAAAUAAUUAAUCUGAUUUAAUAUAAGUUUUCUAAUCACAGUUCAACAAUUAUAU
rnacentral:rRNA from 1 species